UUGACCUGUGUUAUGAUCUGAAACUGGCUUCUUCCCCUCUGCCUGUUAUGGAUUGAGUGUGAAGCCUCUCCUGAAGGCUCAUGUGUUAAGGCUUGUUUGCCAGCUGAUGGGGCUUUGGGGAAGAGAUUGGGUCAACUCUGGACUUAUUGAAGGAUGGAUCGUUUGAUGGCAUGACUCAGAGGUGAUGGAAACUAAGGAGCUGGAAGAACUUUCAAGGACAUCUUCACCUACACUGUCAGCAUCAUCAGAUGUGAAAUAAUGCAAAUAGAAGGCCCCAGCCUUCUGGAGUAUACAGAAGGUAUGCCAAAGGCCAACACUGGACUAAUGAAUACAGAUCAACAAGGGACAAGCAAGAAAGCUUGCCUGAGAGCAAUAAAUCCCUGAUGGAGAUGGUUCUUGUGAUCCUGGGAAAGCAGUUCUGGAGGAUGAUCUGGGAAAGUACUGGCUGGGCCUGCUCAGUGCUGCCUGGCUCUCUGUUCUCCCCUACCCUUCUCUUUGCUUAUCCCUGCCCCUGCCCUCCCUUCUCUUUUAGACAAU